GCUUGUUUUAAACCAAUUUUUUUUUUUAAAAAGUCAUUUUAUAGGACAGUUUCUGCAAAGCGGCAAUAAUUGAAUAUAAAUUCACCUCUGAGUUGUGUCAUAGGCACAGAGCAACUUCACCUCCCUUCCCUCCCCAUUACGGAUGGCUCUCUGUUUACAUGUUAACUUACAGCCCCUCACAGCUUCAACCUAACAUUAGCAGUGCAGCAAAAAUGGCGAGAAAUAUAGGAGCUAAAUGGAUCUACAAGUAGCAGGGAGCUUGUGGCCCACCCAGCGUAUUUUCUACAUAUCAAAUACACUCUUUUUCUCCCUGCUUUUUUCUGUCUGCUCCUGAUUUACUACAAUGUCAAUAAAGAAACACUCAGAAAUGCAAUCUUGAGCUUAAUUUUCUUUAUGUAUGUCUGCCAUCAUCAGAAAAUGUCACAAGAACAUUGUAAAAUGCCGAAAACAUGGUUUUCAUCAGAGUGGGUCUUUAAUAUCCCUUCUGGAAAAAAAAAAAAAAUCAGAAAACUUUUAAUCUCUCUGUGAAUCUCAAACAAGACACUUUAGAGGAGAAACGGCUGGCUCCAACUAUGCAGUGUUCUGUUUGGUUCACCUGCACACUCUUAGCAUAGCUACAGACAUCAGGACACAGUUUUCUACCUCAGAAAAAAAUACAUAUUUCCUGCUUCAGGAUAAAAAAAGCCACCAGAGGUUGAGAUACACUUUUGGAGUUAAAAUGACACUUUCAUUCAGUGAAAUCGAAGUUUGUUUCAUGUGAAUAGAGAAAAGUCGACACAUAGAAACAAUUAAUAUUGCUUAAAAUCUUGGAAUGGAUACUGAAACAACUGACUAAGCAGCAUGACUUUAGCUUUGAUUUAGUAAAAAAAAAAUUUCGGCGCAGCCUUGCAGAGAUGUGUAACUGCAGCUGAAAAGAGCGAGCACAAAAGCCGCAGCAAGGCAAGAUUUACGGUACACAUCCGCUUCAUUUAGUUUUUUUUUCUUGUAUUUAGUCGUUCUUUUGAUUUAUUCACUUCUGCGAUCCUGAUUGUUAAAAUGAGAUUAUCAGCAGGGUUCAAUGGAGAAGCUUAUGCAUAUUAAUUAGGAAUUGACGACAGUUUUAGAGAUUUCCUCACCAGAGUUUAAAGUCAAAAUAGGCUCAAACAGUGCCUGCAGUUUCAUUCUUUUAAUUACAAGAAGGUCGUUUAAAAAGCUUCCUUUUAUAAGCAGAAGUGAAUGGUGAUAGUUCGUGUUUGGGCCAUUGACAGUAUAAAAGAACUGGAAAAAGUGACUCCUCCCCUCUAGCGUUCCAAUCAGGAAGUACCCGCUGGUUCCAAUAGGUGAAAAUUCCAUAGACUAGAAUUGACUUUAUUUCGUUGGAGGGAAAGGUAAGGAAUUUCUUAUGGGUGACAUCUAGGAAUGCCACAGUAGUUGCCCACAGUUUUUUCUAUUGAACUGAAUCGUGGGGAAAGUAAAUCGUUGCAUCCCUACUGAAUACCAGUAUAUGUUGACUGUGUCAAAUAUGUGUAUCGAUUUAUUAUUUAUUGUUUUAUUACAUUACACCAGGUUUAGUAAAAAGCUGAAAGUUUUUCUUUAUUAAUUGCUUAUUCGCAAAUUAAAAAAAAGAUUUAUUUUUCUGAAUUUUUGUUUUUCCCUGUUGUUUUUUUGUUAUACCCAUGCCAUAUAUCAUACCAAAACAAAAUUGUGAUGCAAAAUCAAGAUUGGAACCGAAUCGUGAAUAAAAAGCAUGGUUGCAUCCCUACUCACACUCACUUGGUCUAGUUUUCACAUAUAGUCAAUGAUUUGGCCACAGAAGGCGUGAUUCAUGAGCACAGCUGUCAUGUAUGUUUUUCCAACACAACUUUAUGUGGUUCACUUGAUCAUUCCUACCCUCCUCGUAACUCAUAUAAAUGUAACUGUCAUCUUUGUGCUCAUGUCGCACACAAGGGUGAUCUAAAAAAAAAAAACGGCAUCAUCCAUCAAACACGUCCAUCCAAAGGAAUGUUUGUGGAAACCACCUUUUUCUUUUUUUCUCUCUGUUCACCAAUUUGAUAUAAAAACAAACAAACAUGAUACCUUAUACAGUUUUUUAAACCUCAUUUUGCUCUUGUCAAUUUCUCUUUUUCUUUUUGUGCAAAAGUUCUGUUUUACUGUAAAUACAGGAUAAUUGGAAAGGUUGUGUAAAAAGGUUAUGAUAUGUGAAUCACUUAGUCCCACAAAUUCUUAGAAUCUGCGUGUUAUAAGCUGAAUAUAAGAGAGAAACAACAUUUCUGUUGUUUUUACUGGUUCUUUAUUUUUCUAUUCUUGCCUUAACCCUUUCAGCAUCUCUCCUAGUUUGUCUUGUCAUUGUUUUAGGCCAUAACUUGUCUUGAGUGUGUAAAUACAAACCUCACCGAAUCUCAAAGGAAACUGAAAACUCUGCUGACGUGCGAGUGACUUUUCCAGCAGACUUUGAAUAAAUUGUUCCCAGCACACUCUCACCCUUAUAAGAUCUGAACAGUAAAACGGGAUGAGAUCCACACAAAAAUGGAAAUAUGUACGUAUCUAAAGAAAAAAACUGUUGUAGAAAAUGAUUUUUUUCCCUUGAUUCAGAUCUUAAGAAACUCGAUAAAAACAGGGUUUUGUGUUCUUUUUGGACUAAAAAGUUGCAGAUCUUUUAGCUUGUUAAUGUGUUUAAUUGUCAACCAUGAUGGAGGAAUCACAGAUGUUUUCCUUGUCUCUUCUUCAGUGUGGUUAACAUAGUUGUACUAAAAGGGUUAAGUGUCAUUUAAAGACUGUACUGUGAUAAGAGUUUGUUGUAAAGAAAAAAAAAUCUUUGGUUAAUAAACAUUUAAUUUUAUUAUUAUUAUUUUAUUCCUGGUAUUUGUAACAGAAAAUGUUGGAAGGCAGGUUGUCUCAAUAUAAUAAAGGAAGCCCAUUGAGAUGACUAUUGUUGUAAACAGUGGGCUUUAUAAAUAAAAUUGAAUUGAAUUGAAUUGAACAUAAGGUAAACAUGAAGUUGACCUGAUUUCAUCUCAUUUGAAAGCAACACUUCUAAGCCUCAACAAAGAAUACCUGCCAAACAUACAGUCCAGGAAAAAAGUCUUUCGUUUCCACUUUUAUCAGUGCUGCCAUUUUUGAAUUCCACCAGGAUGAGUGUGAAAGUCUAAAUGGCAGCUGAGAUGAGAAGAUCCUUCCAAUGGUUUAAUGGAGUUCUGUUGUUGCAAUAACGCGGUCCGGUGCUGCAAAGAUUUGAGAGAAAGACAAAGUUUUACUACAAAUUGCCACAACAAAUCGAAUAUGUAAGAUAUAAAAGAAGAAAAGUAUAACAGUUCACCUAUCUUAACUUUUGUCAAAAGUUUUGUUAUUCCAGUUUUAAGUAACAACAAUCAAUGGAACUGUCACCUACUGCUGCAUUCGCAGCACCGGUAACCGACAUCCGCUUAAAGGAGUUGAACAUCAACAUCGUUGACAGUUCGGACAGGAUCAACCAGGAACACGAACUGACCCAGUCACGGAGCCUCCUCUAGCCAGCUAGACUUUGAACGCUACAACCACCCUUUGGCAGUCCACGCAGCCGGUUCACACCAUCACCUACACCCAGGUUUAACCAACCAUGGAUGUCGGCUCAGAAUACGACUACACCCAGGCCACUCGUUAACAAGACGAGAAAGCAAUGAGAAAGCAACUCCAGUCACCGAAGUCCUCAUGGUGGAUGACACCGUUGUAUAUGGUUCGGAGGAGAUCUACCCUGAAUCCAAUCUGAACUGCCAGCUUUGAACGCAACAACCAUCAUCCAGCAGACUUCGCAGCUGCUCUACAACAUCGGCAGACUUCGAAAGCUUCUGACGACCUAUGUCCUGAUCCCCAUCGUUGUAGUGGGUCUCGCAAUUUGCCUAGCUCUCUGGAUCUGGAGCAUGUAAGGGAGUACAAGGAGAUGCGCUCCUGGUUGUACCUUUCUGAAAUCUUCAUUUUUUUACAUUUUAUCUUGUCCUCUGGAAAUUAAUUUGUUUUCCAAAAUGUGUUUUCUUUACA